CCACUGAACUGUGGCAAAGCAGCACCCAACAGCAGCAGGGUGACAGCAGGGGUGACGCUGAGGGGGGCUCCCUGGGCUUGAGGCCUUUGCCAAGCUGCCAGCCUGCACCCUGCACCACCCAGAGAUGAUUCCAGAAGCAGAAAGAAGCCCGGACAUCAGGGAGGGGUGCCCUGGGGAGGGAGCUAAGCGAGGUGGGCGGAGGAGCCCACAGGACUCCAGGCUGUGGCCAGGCCCCGGCUGGCUGUGGGGUGGGGUGGGGGUCGGAGAGGAAAGCAGAGCCACCAUGCCGCCCUCCCACGGGGACCCAGCAUGGGACGCCCACACAGGCUCAGCCAGCCUCCAGGCCCUGCACCCCGCCAGCUUCCCACAGACACCACAGAGAGGAAGCAGGACGCGUCCAUGCGGGGAGAUCGCAGGCACCGCCCGUCGCCCAUGAGGUCCAGGUCUCAUCCCACCCGCGGGGCCGGCCAGCCUGUGCGUCACACCCCGCUUCCAACACCGGCCUCGCGUCUCGAUGGGAAGAAGCGGACUUUGCUCCUCAGGAGACAACCCUGCCGGCUUUAUCUCGAGGCCACUUCCAUCACACGGCUCCCUUCACAUGUGGUCUAUGACGGCGAACACACGUGCAGACAACGUGGGCUGAGCGGACUUAACCGCAGCUGCUUCCGCUCUGAGGACGGACGGCCCCGGGUCCUCAGUGCCAGCCUUCCUCUGCUGGCGGUGGGAAACCUCGGGGGCCGCGAGGCCAGUGCCUGAGGCCCCUGCUGGCUCCGAGAGCAGGGCAGGCCCCGGAGGAGGCAAGGCCGGGGCCGCCCGCCUGCCCGCCUGGGAGUCGGGCCUGUGCCUCACUCGCGCUGGCUGGAAACUGCCCAGCAGCCGGCAGAGCCCGCACGGGCGUGUGGCGAGGUCCCCAGAGCCCGCCUUCUCUGUCACCUCACUCGGCACAGCCGCGCGAACAGAAUGGGAAUGUGCAGUCUGAGUGACAUCAAUCACGGCGACGUGCAAGUGGCAGAGCCCAGAGACCCCCCCUAAGUGCCAGGAAGCAGGCAAUGGGGACCUGCUGCCACCCUAGGGACGCAUGUGUCACCUGGCCCUUCUGAACCACUGGCAUUCUCCUCGCUCUGAUGGGUGAGUGGGCCCCCCCUCCACCUCAUCAGAGCUGGUUUCCAGGCUGAGGCUGGAGCUGCCUCCUUGCUGGGCGUCCCUCCGGGCACCAGCGCCUGCUGGCCCGCUGAGGAGGAGAGGGUGGCCUGCACCCACCCGCCCUGCUUCCUCUGCUUGGGCCCCGCGGGGGCAGCAGCUGUGCGGCCGCACAAGGAGCACAUUGUCCGCCGCGGCCCCAGGAAAACAAGCCCUCCUCCAAGAUGUGCAGGCCCCUCCAGAGGGACAGGGAGCCCGGAAGGUUCCACCCACGGGGGGACGUCCCGCCAGUGGCUUUGGGAGGGUGGUGAGCAAGUGCCCGGGGGAGCUUCCAUGCGGUUGCCCCCACCCACUGCUGGCUCGUUUCCCAUAAGGCAGCCCACACAGGACAGCGCGUUUGGGACGCAUCCUUGUGAGACCGGGGUUGGGGCUCUGCCCUGCACGUGGACAGAGGUGGUGGCCGCGGGGUGGAGAUGUGGGCGUGGUAAGCAGCAGGGGACACGCGGGGUGGUCCACUCCUGUCCUGACCGAGCCCAGGACUGGCCAUCGGCGGCGGCCUCCAGGUCCCAGAGCAGGCGGAGCCCCUGCCUUGCCGUCCGUGCACCCGAGGGCUGGCCUGGCCACAGCCUGGCUCGCUCAGGCGCUCCGAGCAGGGGGCUGCUCUGUGGGCUCGCCUCCCGGCCCGGGCUUCCAAACCACCCUCUGAGUCCCCGGCCUGGGGUGCCCGCCGUGUGAGCAGGAGCCACACAUCGAGUCUGAGGAAUGCCUGCGACGCGAUGCACUCAGGUCCUUGGUCUUGGGCCCGACCUGUGACCCGAGGCUGCCCCGGCUGCUCGGCAGCAGGACGCGGACGUGGCGCUGGUGUGGCUCUUCCCCCGGGUUCUAGGAAGGGUGAGGACUCUUCUAUAGAAGAUGAGAAACCCUGCUACGGGGCAGCCCGGCGACGCCAAGCACAGCGAGCAGGGCUCCAGGGCGGAUGCAGAAGGCCGGCUGCUCCUCCCGGGAGACUCUCGCUGACUGUCUGCUCUGGACGUGGACGCCCGCAGACCGGCUCCAGCCAACAAGGGGACCUGGGGGGCUCAGCAGGUGCUGUGGUCACCCAGCGUCAAGGCCUGGAUGCCAGAGGCCUCGCCGCUGACCAAGAAGGAAAUGGGACCCUAAGCAAGCUUUCAGGGCUGGGGCCGCCUGAUGGCGCUGACACUGCCUGGAAACUGUCACCGUUCCUGAGGAAGAGUAAUUAAGCUGCGCAGGCACGGCUCCUCAGAGAUGACAGCACCAUCCACGCUGUGAGCAGGAGCCCAUUAGCUUCACGGUUACAAGCGGGAGGGGAGAGGGCGCAUCACGGCUGACAGCUGUCACUCCUGCCUGCGUCCCCCGCCCCACCUGGGAGCACAGCCUAAGUCACAGCACCUCGGCCCUCCGGGCAGAGCAGCCAGCGCUGCAUCACGGAUGGCAAAGAAGGGACCUUCUUAUACCUUAGAGACCCGGUUCUUAGGCCCCCUGUCCCCACAGGUGCCAACGCCCGGUCUCUCAAAGAGACCGAAGCACGAGAUGAGGGGUGACAGGGCUGCUUCGGGAGCGCCUGGCCUGGCCCAGUGUCCCUGACACCGUCUGCUGGGAUGAUGGCUCACUGUGGCAGCGGCGGGACGUGCUGGGCCCUGCAACAGCCCCUGGGCCUCACGACGGGCACACGCCCGGGUCCAGCGUGGCUCCCGGGGAGAGGGCGGGUGGGGAGGUGGGGGACAAGGCGGGCAGUCCUGACUUCAUUCACCAUGCACUCCGGUCCCUGACCCCUUGCCAAACUCAAGCAGCGGGAGAGGAACCCAGACUCUGCAAGCCCCCAACACGGGGCCGGGAGCCUCAGGACCCGAGGCCCUGAGCACAGCCGGCCCGCCUGGUCCAGGAGCACCGCCUGUAGCCGGCUCCUCAGCACGUGCCCCGCCCCAGUACUCGAGGCCGGUACAGUGUGUCCUCAGAAGGAGAGCCCUCGGGACUGAAGUCUAACCCUACCCCAACCCUGACCCUGACCCGACCCCCGACCCUCCAACCCUAAGCCCCUAACCCAGCUCCAUGACCCGACCUAAAAUCCAGCACUGUCCCUAACCAGAGCCCUGCCCUGGGCCCUACAGAGCCCUGGACUGUCGAUCUGGAGCCCCGCCCUUCCUCCAACGAGCGUGCAGCGCAGUGUCGCCCACGGCCCUGGGCUGUCCCCGACUAGGGAGCCCGGCACCUUCUCGAUCAGAGACCUAAGUGUCCCAAACUAGGGCCCUGAUCUGUCCCUCAUGAGGCCCUGCACUGUCUGAAACCAAAGCCCUUGGCUGUUACCAACCAGAGCCCUGCUCUCUCUCUCGAGUCCUGCCCAACGAAGGCCCUGGACUGUCUCUAACUACGGUCCUGCACUGUCCCUGACUAGAUUUCUGCCCUGUCCCUAAACUAGAGCUCUGCCUUGUCCCGAAUGACAUCCCUGUCCUGUUCCUAAUGAGAGGCCUGUGCAGUCCCUGACAGUGGCCCUGCACUGUCCCUAUCUAGGGUCUUGCACUGUCUCUAACUAGAGCCCUGAUCUGUCCCUAACUAGGGCCCCAAGCUGUUUCUAAUCUAACCCUGCUCUGUCCCCGCUGAGGGUCGGCUGUGCUACCGCAUCCCCCCCACUUUCCUGUCCACAAGCUGUGCUCGAGAGCAGGCGUCGCGCCACUUGCCGCGCCUGUGUGUGGGCUAUCCCAUGUGAGGGAGACUGCGUUUUGAGGACAGAGGGACGGCCAGUGUGCCAGCCCCCUGCAGCCUGGCAUGGAGGUGACCCCGCCCCAGCAGGGGCUCGGGUGGUGAAGAAGGCAUGGCAGCCGGAGGGGUGCAAGGGAGGCCCCGCCGACACUGCCCCUGAACCGACAGCCCCCCUUGCCACCCAGACAGGCAGGCCCUGGGGGAACCAUGAGCAACAGUGACCCUGCAAACACUGCGGUCCAGAGGGCACGACUGCCAAAUGACUCGUUAAGACGGUUUCCUGUUUCAUUCUGACGAAACACAACAAGAGAGCAGAGAACAAACAAAAGGGAGGUCACAACAGCAGAAUGGAAACUUCUCUCGCCAGGUCCAGCACGGCCCGGGGAACAGGCACUCCUGUCUGCUCUUCGCCUAGACAGGGGCCACACAGGCACGGGACCCUCAGCCUCUUCUGGCCUCAAACCACCUGGCCUCGCUGCCCCUGCCUGAAGGGACAGACUGGGGCCCAUCCUCGGGCCCAGGAGGAACUGAAGCCUGAGGCCCCGGGACGCAGCCAGGCUCCUGAGCACCUCCCCUACCUUGGCCCCUCACUCGGUGGGUGAUGGGCCUGCUGGGCCUCCUGUGUCCCCGCCCUUGCCUGGAGCCACGUCUGCCCAGGAGUCCUCAAGAAUCGGCGGGACCCGGGCAGGCCUCUCGGGACAGGAGCCCCAUCUGUCCAGCUUCCUGGUCACGUCUUGUGCAUGUGACAGUUUACGCCAGAGGUCAGGCGGCAGACAACACACGUUUUCUCUCAAGGAGGUGUUUUGCAAAGAGCUGGCUGAAGGCUUCCUGCUCUAAGAAAAAACGUCAUUUAAGUGGCCUGCUCCCAAUCAGGCAGCGCCUGGCAAACUGCCGAUCUGUGUUUAGGGGUGUCCUGGCCGCCGCGGGGCAGGAACUGACCCGGGUGACCCCCGAGGCGGCUGCCCGCCCCUCGCAGCGCCUCACGGUGCUGGGCAAUAUUCGGUUGCCAUGGCAACCGGCCCUCCGCACCCAGGCGUGCCCGCCACUCUGACCCGUGCAGGUGUCACCAACUAGGCCGGAAACAAAAUCCACGGUGAGGACCUCAGCUGGCUUGGCUGGUGUGGGGCAAACACGGGAAGGCUUCCUGUCGACGGAAAUGAGAGCCGGCCCCGGAGGCUUUUCAGAUGAAUAGAUUCCAAAUCUUUAACAUGUAUCAGGCUGAAGGGCACACGAGGCCUUACAUGUCUUUGUCUUUUGUUUCCCGCGCAGGAAAAUCAGCCAAAGCACGUCUCCAAGUGCCUUGGCGGACGGGAGGCGAUGCGAGGUGCCUGGCACAGCCGUUCCGGGCGGCCCGUCUGCUGGGCUGUCUCACCUGCCUGCUCCCCAGGCAGCCCGGGAGGUUCGUGUGUCCACAGGCCCUGCACGGGGCAGCCUAACACCCAGCACCACGGCGGGCGAGCUCCUGCCCCCGCACACUCGUGCCACGCACGUGGGGGCCGCCCUCACCCCACGCUGCCCUGGUGCCUGCAGACGACCUGCUAAGCCCACAGCCACCCAGGGCCUCCCCCAUGCUCAUGAACCUGGGGCCGGCAUCCUCAGGCUGCCUGGGCAAGCCCUGGGACAGGCUCGCGUGGCCAGUUAGGACAGAAACGCCCACCCUGGUCAGCAGCGCCAGGGAGGGUCAGCGCAUCUGGAAAGGAGAGCAUCACUCACCCACAGCCAGCAGGCACCCAGGUCAGAGGUCAGGACAGCCCUCAGGCCUCCGCCCCCCACGGACUCCGUGUCUGCUGGGGGUCACUGCCGGGGACAUGCCCGUGUCUCCCUCUCCCCCGCCACCUCUGGAGGCUGGUUGUCUCUGGCCCUCCAGGGAGGUCAAUGUGACGGGCAGCUCCCCGGAGGUCAGAGGCCAGGACGGCUGCUGAGGGGCAGAGUGCCCCACAGACCCGCCCCAGGCAGCAUGCAGCCCCUGGGAUGACAAGGGGAGAAGCGGGCGUCUCAGCACCGCUGCGGGCACAAUCUUGCUCAGAGGUCAUGUGCAAAGGAGCCUGCAUGGUGCUUUAGUGACACAGGGCGGGGCAGUGACAGCUUCGGGCAUCAUGUCCCUGAUGCCCUCAGAAGAAACUUCCAGAAGCGUUUUCUUCUUCUGCUCAGUGUACAGUGGGAGAUGAGGUUCCAGCUGAUGCAAGCCAUCAUGGGGACACGCCAUGAGUGACCCACAGAGAGACCCACAGGCAGAGGGUGAUGAUGACCAGGGCCCAGCGACCACCUGACCCACCCCUCGCUCUGCCCAGGGGGGACCUCCUGUGCUGGAGACCCAGGUCCCUUAGGCCUCUGCUCCCAGGGCCCGUCCCUACCACCCUUUGCUCAGGUCUCCGCUCAGAUGCCACCUUCUCAGGGCCUUCCUUGGACCUAACACUGCAGCUGGGCUCCAUCCACCCUGGCACUGCCUGCCCGGCAGCACUCACCGCAUACUGCUUAUCUCGCCCGCUUCACCCCACACCCCGCCCCGGACCCGGAACGCGAGCUCCCAGCAGACCAAGCACCCACAGCGAGCAUGUUCAAGGCUACAACAAUGAAAUGAAAAUACACCCCUAAGACAUGAAAUGAGAGAACUCGGAAGAGAAAGAGAGCUACAAAGAAAGGACAAAAUCCAGAACUGAGAAAGAAAAUGUCUGGCACUGAAACAGAGCAGACUGGAGGCCAAGAACGCAAAGGUGGCGAGCGUGAUGGCAGCUCAAGCAAGACCAUUCGACCUGCGAACAGGGACUUAAAAAGUGAGUUACAACAAAACAGACUUUCAGGAACUGGUGAAACAACAUCAGAAGCUCCAACAUACGUGCAAUUGGAAUCUUAGGAAAGGAGAGAAACGAGGAGGAAAAAACUUUGAAAAAAUACUGGCAGUAAUUACCCAAACUUGGUAAAAGACCCAAAUGAUAGAUUCAAAAGCCUCAGGGAAUCGCAAGCGGGAUAACAUCCUGCUCAAAACGCCAUGUGCAGGCACAUCACUGUCAAAAUGCCGCGAAGCAGAGACAAACCUUCGGGGCGCCCAGAGAGAAGAAAGGCACGGGUGGUCAGAGGACAGCCGACAGGAGCAGCAGUGACUUCUCGUCAGAAAAAAUGGGGGCGAGAGACAGUGAAGCGAGGCAGAGUCUUGCACCUGAUGGAACUGUCUGUUCUGAGAUGAGAGCCAAGCAUCCAGAAGCUUUUCAAACUGCCAGAGACCCCAGCAGCAUGCAUGGGAGGGGCUGGGCACAAUCCGAGGCUUCGGGAGGAAAGCAAGCCUCGGGCGAUCUCAGCGUGAGGGAGGCACCCCCCGCGCCCUCGGCAGGACCACGCGGACUGCCCGUCCAAGGGUGGGAGGG
rnacentral:lncRNA from 1 species